rnacentral:rRNA from 1 species
UACGGGGGGGGCAAGCGUUGUUCGGAAUUACUGGGCGUAAAGGGCUUGUAGGUGGCCAACUAAGUCAGACGUGAAAUCCCUCGGCUUAACCGGGGAACUGCGUCUGAUACUGGAUGGCUGGAGUGUGGGAGAGGGAUGCGGAAUUCCAGGUGUAGCGGUGAAAUGCGUAGAUAUCUGGAGGAACACCGGUGGCGAAGGCGGCUCUCUGGUACGUGACUGACGCUGAGACGCGAAAGCGUGGGGAGCGAACAGG